GGAAUGUUGGUUUAAAUAUUGGAAAACGUAAAUUUGCCAGUUUCUUCUCCAAGUAUGGAAAGGUAGAAGCUAUUCGACUUAGGUCUGCUGCCCCAGCUCAGCCGGAAGUAAGCAAAAGGAAGCUGUGAUAAAACGCAAUGUUCAUCCAUCACGAUCAACUAUAAAUGCUUAUGUACGGUUUAAGACAACAGAGAUGAUGGAAGCGGCUUUAGAAGCAAAUGGAGCACUUUUUGAGGGAACCCAUAUAUGGGUAGACAGAGCAUCUCAGCCAAAGACUCAUGAUAGACACUGUGCAGUAUUUGUGGGUAACCUGCCCUUUGAAUGUGAAGAGGAGAACUUAUAUAAACUUUUGAGGAGUGUGGUGAAAUUGACAAUGUACGCAUCAUACGAGACAAAAAGUUUUCUUCUGUGGAAAGGUUUGGUUACAUAAACUUCAAAUCAUCAGAUGCAGUUGAGGUUGCACUUCAGCUUGAUGGAAAACAAUUCAUGAAACGAAACUUGAGAAUUCAACGUUGUGUGAAAAAAGUAAAGAAGUUCCAAAAGAAAGGCCAACUGCUGCCACAAGAUGGACAAUCAUUGGGCUUCAUGAAAGUCAAAGGGUCAUCAAGAAUGAGUUUAAAGUUUAUGAAAAACAAAGAGAAAGAAAGAAAAGGUAGACGUGGAAAGGGUCA